rnacentral:lncRNA from 1 species
AUGGCUUUUUUUGUGUGUCCUGCUAUUCACAGANUGACCUUUAAAUGUCCCUUCCAACUCAAAUGAGUCUAUAAUUCUAUGAAGUAAGAAAAAGGAAAAGCCCUCAUGGGUUGUAGGGCUGAUAGUUCAAUAGAGUGAGUGGGUGCACUGGAGUAGUCCAAAGACUGCAGUUACAAAUAUGCACUUAAUAGACACCAGCAUUUCUUUCCAGUAUUUACUGGAGCGCCAACAGCAUUUCCCAGAGCUUUGGUUCGUGAAGAAACCACAGGAUACACUAGUGAAUGACACUGCUAAAUUAAAUGUGAGAUAGUAAAAAAUGUGGAGGGAAGGGAAACAAGAAUCACAAACAGGAAAAAUGAUGUUGCUGAGUGUUUUCUUACGAAAGAACAUGGAAAGGAGUAAUUUGGAGGAAUUCCACGUUUGUUCUGAACUAUUAAUUUGUCUGCAAAAUGACAAAGCUAGAAAAUCUAGAGGCCAUGAACAGAAACCAAAACCACUCCACAGAAAUACUGCAAGAUUUCUCAGCUGAGCUAAUGACAGAUCUGAAGAAGUGUCAACACUGCAACCGAAAAAGCUCGAAGCGGCAGGAAUGUCGUUCGCAGGGGAGAUGGGAGUCAUAGCAAAUACACUCUUCAGGGUUGGUUACUCCUGACUAAUGCAUGCCGUUUUCAGCAAGUAAAGCCAAAACCUUGCCCACAGGCAGCAGCAUGCUCCAGAUGAAUCCCAUGCCUACUCUGAGCUGCAGUAGAUUAGGUAAUAUUGCUUCCCUAUGCCUCGCUCCUCUCUCCUGCUGCCAGCCCUGGUUCAGGCUGGUGUAUUUGUUUUAGUCAGAGGCCAACAUCACCCACAGCCAAGGAAUUCGGCCUAGCUCAUGAUGGUUUUGUGCGCUGUGUGGCUGUGGUGAGGUAUUUGAACAGUCUGCCCAGGGAGGUGGUGGGGUCACCAUCCCUGGAGGCCUUUAAGGAAAAGAUAGAUGUAGCACUGAGUGACACGGUUAGUGAGCAUGGUGGCAAUGGUUUGAUGGUUGGACUAGGUGGUCUUUGUGAUCUUUUCCAGCCUUAAUGAUUCUGUGUUCUCUGUUGUCAGGAGAGAAUUCAUCUUUUGCGACUUUAUCUUCUGAAAAAAUUGCAGAAGAACAGAAAUUCAAACUGCUGCAUGUAGGUAUCAAGUGUUUGCUGUGACGUGUUCACCAGAAAAGAGACAGGUUUGCAAAGGCAGUUACAGUCCAGGAGACUCCAUGUAGACUGUGAAAUUUGAUUUUACUCAGGUGUCCAAAACAGGAGAUUUAUUUCCAAGAUACGAAUGGCCUGUGGCUACAUGAAGACAUCUGCAAAUCCAGUCUUUAUUUCCAGUGGGAGUUUCUCAACAGAUCUGAAGGUCAGAUUGUUUCAUUUAGAUAUCUAAAUGAGCACUUAGCGCUUCUCAAGUUCUGGCCUUGGCCAAAC